rnacentral:rRNA from 1 species
CGGAUUGAAGGCUGAAAUUCGCCUUCAUGAAGCUGGAAUUGCUAGUAAUGGCAGGUCAGCAUACUGCCGUGAAUACGUUCCCGGGCCUUGUACACACCGCCCGUCACACCAUGAGAGUUGGAAAUACCCGAAGCCUGUGAGCUAACCUAAAGAGGCAGCAGUCGAAGGUAGAGCCAAUGAUUGGGGUGAAGUCGUAACAAGGUAAC